rnacentral:misc_RNA from 1 species
UUGCCCCUCGACGCAGCGCGUGCGUGUUGCAACUUUUGAUUAGCUUUGGAUUCCGAUUCGGAUUGCGAUCUUCCAGUGCGCCUGCGCUUUUCGUAACUUAUCGCCGCCCACAUCUUUACUGGCAUUUGCCACGACGGGUCGUUCUCCUCCUUCAGAGUCAACCGUUGCCGGCUGAGAUGUACGUCCAAUUUGUGGCGAAAUUAAUUAUAUAAUUUCCAAAACACCGCCGAAAUCCCCGUAAAAAUCAAUUGUACAAAUUGUACAGAAGAGAAAGAGAAGCGCUUCAAUAAACACGCCAAGCGGUGCUAAUGCGAAAGGAAACUCCCCGACAAUCGACGAAAAUUGUAAAGAAAUAAAUUAUACAAAAUGUCUAUACAAAGCACAAGACAUUCGCCAUUCGCAUGGACCACAAGAGCCCUGCUGCUGCUCGCCACCUGGUGCUGCUACCUCGGAUACCUCGGAUCGGAGGCCCAUGUGGCCCUCACCUAUCCACCUGCCCGCAAGUUCGAUCUGGACUUUCUGGACAAUGCGCGAACGAAGGCGCCAUGUGGCAUGCCCAAAGGCUCCAUCCGCACAUCGCUGCUGUCUGGCACGCAGUUCAACGUUACCUGGCAUUUGGCCUAUGCGCACAAGGGCGGGUUUCGGUUGCAACUUUUGGAUGCCCUCGAUCGACCUGUACUGGACCUAACGCCACAUGUAAAUAACUCGGAGUUUGUGAGCACUGAUGUCACUGCCCAGUCUUACGAAGUGAAGAUACCGAACGACUUUGAAUGCUUUAACUGCACUCUUCGGCUGCUUCGCCAGGCAGAUGAAUGGACCACCAGCUACCGCUUCUGGUCCUGCGCCGAUGUGGACAUCAAGCUGCGGAAGGACUUCAAGGAGACCUGUUCCGGCAAUGGCAAGUACUUCCCCUCGCGGUGCAAGUGCGACAAGAACUUCUAUGGCCCGCAGUGCCAGUACAAGGAUGAGUGCUCCGCCGACUCCGAUUGCGGGGUUCAGGGCAAGUGCGUGGAUUUGGGUGGAACCUCGCUGCCUAAGAAACAAUGCUACUGUAACUUCGGCUGGUUUGGUAUUGGAUGCAACAAAAGGUCGCCCUACAAGAGCACAAGCCUCGACCUCUCCUCGUAUUCCAAAAAGGAGCUCUCACCUGACUACCACGUCUACUGGAGGCUGCUUGAGGAGCAGAAGGAGAUCGAGAUGGUGCUUAAGGUCAAUGGUACAUCGUGGGUGGGCUUGGGCUGGAGACCACGUGGCAUGACGCCGGAGUGCAAGAAUUUCCCGCUGGUACGGGACAUCGGAGAUCUGACUACAACGCUGGAAGCCUCUGCUCCUGAACCCAAGAGCGAACCGGAACCCAAGAGUGAACCGGAACCCAAGAGUGAGCCGGAACCCAAGAGCGAACCGGAACCCAAGAGUGAACCAGAGCCCAAGAGCGAACCGGAACCCAAGAGUGAGCCGGAACCCAAGAGCGAACCGGAACCCAAGAGUGAACCAGAACCCAAGAGCGAACCUGAACCCAAGAGUGAACCGGAACCCAAGAGUGAACCGGAACCCAAGAGUGAACCGGAACCCAAGAGCGAACCGGAACCCAGUAGUGAGCCGGAGCCUAAGAGUGAACCCGAGCCUAAGAGUGAACCCGAACCCAAAAGUGAACAGGAGCCCAAGGGCGAACCACAGCCUAAGCGAUUAGCCGAGCUUAGGGCCGCACCAGAACCACAAAGUGAGCCUGAGCCUAAGAGCGAACCGGAACCCAAGAGUGAACCCGAACCGAAGAGCGAACCAGAGCCCAAGAGCGAACCUGAACCCAAGAGUGAGCCAGAACCCAAGAGUGAACCCGAACCGAAGAGCGAACCAGAACCCAAGAGUGAACCGGAACCCAAGAGCGAACCAGAGCCGACUAGCGAGCCCGAACCAAAGAGUGAACCAGAACCCAAGAGCGAACCUGAGCCCAAGAGCGAACCUGAGCCCAAGAGCGAACCUGAGCCCAAGAGCGAACCAGAACCAACCAGUGAACCGGAACCCACAAGCGAACCGGAACCGAAGUCUGAGCCGGAGGCCCAGAGUACAAAAUCCAAAAGAGUUGCUGGAGAUUUUGCCAAAAAAGGUGUGUCUUCAGUUUCUACAAGUGUGUCAUAUCGCGUUAGCACCAAGACAGAUCGGCAACGGCGUGAAGCUGAAACACCCAAAUACCGCCUAAAUCCCUAUACACCACGACACGACUUCAACGGAAUGGACUGCACGGACAUCGUGAUCGGAGCAGCCCGAGGAAUGGCCAGCAGAGUGGGUGACUACUAUAGCCGUGAUCGAUCGACGCCCCACAUCGACGAGUUUUUCGGCGGCAAGUCAAACCUGGCCUUGGGCACGGGUUUUGAGGAGGAUGGUGUGACCACGAUCAUCUUCCGCAAAAAACUGGUUGCAAAUGAGCCCACUGAUCACACCCUAGACGAUGCGCUCACCCAUGUGAUUUGGGCCAAGGGUCAGGAGCCGGAAGCAUAUGUGCAUGUGCCAGCCUCUGGUCUGGAAACGCAGUCCGCAACGGUCAAAAACUUCUAUCAGCAGGAUGAACUGAAAUACCACGGACACCAAAUGCAGCGUGGCGUCACCCAGAUCAACUUCUUCGAAAAAGAAAAGUCUGCCACGAGCACGGACCGUAACGACCUGGGCACCAAUGUGCUGGAUAACGAUUGCUUUGGUCAUUGGAAGUAUCCGUCCAACUGCUCUCCCCAGGAGCACACCUGCGAGUACUACGCUAGUUGGGAGACGGUCGGAAAGGGUGACGAGAUGCGUUGGCACAUCGAAACGUCGAACACGCAGACCUGGACGGGAAUCGGUUUCAGCGAUGAUCAGCGUAUGUCUCAAACGGAUGCGAUCAUUGGCUGGGUGGACGGACGCAGCGGAAGACCCUUCCUUAUGGACACCUGGGUGUUGGGCUACGCUCCGCCGAAGCUCGAUGAUCGCCAGGACAUCUACAACGCAUCAGGACGCAUUGAAAAGGGUGUCACCAUUCUGGAGUUCAAUCGCAAGCGGGUCAGCAAUGACGAACAGGACUUGUCCUUCACUGACGACCACUGCCUCUAUCUAUUCUUCCCUGUUCUGGGCGGUGCCUUCAAUGUGGUGAACAAGAAGAUCCGCAAACACGAGCAGGUUCCGCCAAUCUCUUCUCAGCGUGUCUGCAUCAAAUCCUGUGGCAAGGAACUGGAGUCCGUUUUUGUGGGCACCAGCACUCCGGCUCCAAGCCGUCUUGUUUACGCCGUGGCCGUUAAGCUGAUGAACCUGGGCGAAUCCUAUGAGGCACCAAAGCCGGGAACCGUGGAGUUCAACAAUCUGGCGGCAACUAUUUCGGAUUCAUUCAAUGGUAUCCUAAGUCCGUUGACAGGUUACUAUAAAACGGAGAUUCUGGGCUUUGAAAAGCAGGGUAGCACCAUGGUGGCCAAGGUCCAGGCCAUGUUCGACAAGGCGGAUGUGGAGAAGAUGCACGCCUUAGAAACCAACGAGGUGGACAAAACCAGCGAGGCAGCAGCCCAGAAGAACGCCGACGUGAUUCGUUCGGCUCUGAAGGAUCAGAUUGCCACCGGUCGAGUCGGCUCUCUAACGGUGGAUCCCCAGUUCUUGGACUUUGAGGCAUUAGAAUACAAGAGCUCCUCCGAGCCCGAUGCCAAGGAGACACUGCUCUCCUUUUUUGACCUGUCGGAGACACGUUUGUACAUCGUCCUGGGACUGAUUGCGGCCCUGGUGCUCAUCGCGUUGAUCCAGGCAUUCUGCACCAUUUGGAAGACUUCGCGAAAGAGCAAGAACACGAAGCUGGUUUACGUGAUUCCCGAAGAGUGGCGCAUGUACCAACAGCGACAGCACCAGCGCUACUAUCAGCCCUCUAGCGACCUAUAAAAGACUCACUCUACAAAUUAAAUUCAGAUCAGAUCAGAUAUACGCCCUAGAAAUACUGCCCUACUGCCCGAUCCACCUGUAAACCGAGCAUCAGCUACAACUGCCUUAAGCGCAUUUACGUUUUAAUCCGAACCGAACCCAUCUUGUAGUUAGUUUAAGUACCGGAAACCUCUUGAUUAUGUACUGUAUCUGCAUCUGCGUAGGUGCCGCGUUUAUCAAAAUUCCAUAACUAAAUCGGAGAAACUGAUCCAAAACUCACCCUGGAAGGAGUUUGCCUCGAACACCAACUAUGCCUUUGAUCCUUAUGGCGAAACGGAGGAGAAGAACAUUUCCAACAGCAACUCGGGCAAGGAGA